rnacentral:rRNA from 1 species
GACGAACGCUGGCGGCGUGCUUAACACAUGCAAGUCGAACGGAAAGGCCCUGCUCUUGUGGGGUGCUCGAGUGGCGAACGGGUGAGUAACACGUGUGUAACCUGCCCUUGACUUUGGGAUAACUUCUGGAGACAGGGGCUAAUAUCGGAUAGGAGCUCUUGCUGCAUGGUGGGGGAUGGAAAGAUACGGCGGUUGGGGCUGGUCUGGAGGCUUAUGAGCUUGUUUGUGGAGUUGGCGAUUACAAAGCCUGUGAGGGAUAGCCCGCCUGAGAGGGUGACCGGAGACAUUGGGACUGAGGGACGCCCCAGACGCCAACGGGAGGCAGCAGUGGGGAGUAUGGCACAGUGGGCGGACGUCAGAGGUAGCAACGUCGGGUGCGUGAAGACGUGCUUCGGGUUGUAAACAGAUUUCUCAUUUGACGAGGCGGGAGUGACGGUAAUGGGUAAAGAAGCACCGGCUAACUACGUG